rnacentral:lncRNA from 1 species
GUAACAUCUGACAUUAGGUUAUACAAAGACUCUUCUUCCAUCUUGGGUUUCUCUUUCUCUGAGAUACCCCACUGUGGAAGAAGCAAACUUUUAUUGUGAUCAGAAAUCUAUGUGGCAAGGAACAGAUGUCUCUGAUCAACUGCCAGGAAAUACCUGAGACCUGCCAAGACCCACGUCGGUGAUUCUCCCCAGUAGAGCUUUAUGGUGACCACCCCAGUCAACCCAUGGAGUUCAGCUCUGCGAAAGGUGAAAGAGGCUCCUGGAUUCCCUUCCAAACAUUUGUAACAUAGGAAGACUUUCCCAAUCUCCGAGGACUUUCUGUCUUCCCUCUUUCCAUCUGAGAUGCCUUUUCACCAGACUCUGGAACUUCUGCAUUCAGGGUCGUGUCUGAAGCCAAAGUCAGGGACAUGGAUGGAGCUGGAAGCCAUUAUUCUCAGCAACCUAAUGAAGGAAGAGAAGAAGACCAAUUAUUGCGUGUUCUCACUUGUAAGUGGGAGCUGAAUAAUGAGAACACAUGGACACAUGGAGGGGAACAACACACACUGGCCCUGUCAGAGUGUGGGUGUGGAGGAGGGAGAGCAUCAGGAAGAAUAGCUAAUGGAUGCUAGUCUUAAUACCUAGGUGAUGGGAUGAUCUGUACAGCAAACCACCAUGGCAAAUGUUUACUUAUGCAACAAACCUGCACAUCCUACACACGCACCCCUGAACUUAAAAAAGAUAAAAUAAAAUAAUAAAAAUGUGCUCAAUUAAAAAUGAAAGUUAGAACUUAUUUGUAAAGAGGGUUUUUUAAAGUUGACAUAAAAUAAGCCAUUAUCCAUUUAUUGCAAAGGAACUGAGUUUACAGCAAAACAUAAGUCAAG